rnacentral:rRNA from 1 species
ACGGCCAUACCAUGCUGAAUAUACCGGUUCCCGUUAGAUCACCGAAGUCAAGCAUCAUUGGGCGCGACCAGUACUUGGGUGGGUGACCACCUGGGAACACCGCGUGCCGUU